GAUGGGGUAGCUCAGUCGGCAGAGUGUGAGACUCUUAAUCUCAGGGUUGGGUGUUCGAGUCCCACGCUGGGCA